rnacentral:rRNA from 1 species
UACGUAGGGUGCAAGCGUUGUCCGGAAUUAUUGGGCGUAAAGAGCUCGUAGGCGGUUCGUCGCGUCGGCUGUGAAAACCCGGAGCUCAACUCCGGGCCUGCAGUCGAUACGGGCGGACUUGAGUUCGGCAGGGGAGACUGGAAUUCCUGGUGUAGCGGUGAAAUGCGUGGAUAUCGAGAAGAACACUUAGGGCGAAGGCAAGACUCUGGACAAAUGCUGACGCUCAUGCACGAAGGCUAGGGUAGCGAACGGG